rnacentral:rRNA from 1 species
UACGUAGGGGGCAAGCGUUGUCCGGAAUCAUUGGGCGUAAAGAGCGUGUAGGCGGCCCGAUAAGUCCGCCGUGAAAGUCCAGGGCUCAACCCUGGGAUGCCGGUGGAAACUGUCGGGCUAGAGUCCGGAAGAGGCAAGUGGAAUUCCUGGUGUAGCGGUGAAAUGCGCAGAUAUCAGGAAGAACACCGGUGGCGAAAGCGCUCUGCUGGACCUUAACUGACACUGAGGGACGAAAGCUAGGGGAGCGAAUGGG